UGGCUAAGACGGUAAAGCGUCUGCCUGCAACACAGGAGACCCAGGUUCGAUUCCUGG
rnacentral:tRNA from 1 species